AUUAUCCUCCCAGUCCACAACGCUGAACCGUGGCUGGAUGAAUGUUUGAGGACAACCUGAGGUCGCUGCACUUGCAGGAGGGCCAGGACUUCCUUCACUUCAGCUGACGGACCCAUGGCAGCUGCUCCCAGUGCUCCCCAGGCCAGCAGGAGCUUCCUGAGCUACAGGCAUGGCAACAGUGCACCCCAGUUCCACACCCAGCAGGCGCAACCAGAGUCUCGUGUGUGCUGACCACAGGAGCCGAGCCUUUUCCUGCAUGUGGACUCAUGCAGCCAAGGCUGGGCCUGGUCACCCAGGAUCCUCACCAUGUGACCCCAGCCAAUCGAGGGGACAGUUCAAGGAGGAGGAGACCCCUAUUAGACAGGUUGGAAUAAAAUGUUUAAAUCUUGUAAAAA
rnacentral:sRNA from 1 species